CUGAAAUGAUGUGAAAUGUGAAAUAAGGCAUCGGAAAUUUGAUUUUUAUUCUGGAAUAGAUUUCAAGCAUCUGAGGAGAUUUUGUUUGGGUGUCACAAAUACAACGAAGAUACUGUGAAUUGAAUGAAAUCAUCAAUGAAAAUCAAGACAUGACCAAUGCAAGCCUUCCUUGGAGAGCGGAGACUUCGGACAUUGGACCGGAUAAUAGAUUUAGCGUACUUUCAGCAACCCAAAGAAAAGUUUUCAGUUAGCCUGACUGGUGCCAAAUGUCACCAGUUUCAGAAAGAUGAACACAAAUGUAUUAAAACAAUACGCUUGCCAAAACUUAAAAACAAAAGACAGAGAAGACAUGUUAGUGUAUAAUUACUUUGCGUUUCUUUUAGUGGUAUUACAUUUUGCUUUUAUGUCGAUUUAAGUG